UUAUAGUGGGGGAGUAGCCUUUCGAAAGGAAGAUUAAUACCGCAUAAGAUUGUAGUAUCGCAUGAUAUAGCAAUUAAAGGAGCAAUUCGCUAUAAGAUGGACCCGCGUCGCAUUAGCUAGUUGGUGAGGUAAUGGCUCACCAAGGCGACGAUGCGUAGCCGACCUGAGAGGGUGAUCGGCCACAUUGGGACUGAGACACGGCCCAGACUCCUACGGGAGGCAGCAUG
rnacentral:rRNA from 1 species